GCCGCGGUAGCUCAGUUGGCAGAGUGUGGGAUUCGUAAUCCAAGUGUAGCUGGUUCGAUACGGCUGCCUUGGUG